rnacentral:rRNA from 1 species
UACGGAGGGUGCAAGCGUUAUCCGGAUUUACUGGGUUUAAAGGGUGCGUAGGCGGGCCAUUAAGUCAGUGGUGAAAGCUCCGAGCUUAACUCGGAAACUGCCAUUGAUACUAUUGGUCUUGAAUUCGGUCGAGGUUGGCGGAAUGUGUGUGUAGCGGUGAAAUGCUUAGAUAUGACACAGAACACCGAUUGCGAAGGCAGCUAGCUAGACCGACAUUGACGCUGAGGCACGAAAGCGUGGGGAUCAAACAGG